rnacentral:rRNA from 1 species
UACGUAGGUGGCGAGCGUUGUCCGGAAUUACUGGGUGUAAAGGGAGUGUAGGCGGGAAGGCAAGUCAGAAGUGAAAAUUAUGGGCUCAACCCAUAACCUGCUUUUGAAACUGUUUUUCUUGAGUGAAGCAGAGGCAAGCGGAAUUCCUAGUGUAGCGGUGAAAUGCGUAGAUAUUAGGAGGAACACCAGUGGCGAAGGCGGCUUGCUGGGCUUUUACUGACGCUGAGGCUCGAAAGCGUGGGGAG